AAGUCGGCUAAGUAAGUCCAUGCAGUUUUUGGAUAGUUUGAAGUUGGUGUAUGAGGUUGCAUUUCAGAGGGAGCUGUUUCCGGGUGGUGCACGGUGGUGUCGUCUUUGUUUUCCUGAACAGGAGACUGCUGGAUUUGUUUCUCUUCCACGGCACAUGUCACGUUCAUCAUGAGAUCUCCUCUAGAGCAGUGAUGAGCUAUUUCAUCGAGUGUCAUUAGCUCCUCUAACAGCCAUCUUCACUGAGAGAAUGUCACGGAUUUCCUCCUCUUCAUCUGAAGAGGAGAGGCGAAACGGAUCAGAGGACCAAUAUGCGGCGUGGUAAGUGUCCAUGGUAAAUCUUUAAUAAAGAAAGUACUGACACUGCAUACAAAACAAUAAACAAAUGACGACCGUGAAGCUACAACAUAGACAAUCACCCACAAACAAACAGUGCAACCCAGGCUACCUAAGUAUGAUUCUCAAUCAGAGACAACUAAUGACACCUGCCUCUGAUUGAGAACCAUACUAGGCCGAAACAUAGAAAUGCCCCAAAACAUAGAAAAACAAACAUAGACUGCCCACCCAACUCACGCCCUGACCAACUAAAUAAAUACAAAACAAAGGAAAUAAAGGUCAGAACGUGACAGUACCCCCCCCCAAAGGUGCGGACUCCGGCCGCAAAACCUUGACCUAUAGGGGAGGGUCUGGGUGGGCGUCUGUCCGCG
ensembl:lncRNA